GCAAACACGAGCUGGGCAGCGCGGAGUCGCCUGGUCUCCGGGCUGGGGCGGGCCGGGCCGCGCGCCCCGCGGAGCCGGCAUCCUCCGCGCACACCCCAGUUUGGGCCCCUCUUUGGCUCCAGGGGCCGUAGGCCGGGCGAGCUAUUCUAUCUGGAAUUUACGAAGGCAUAUACAGACAUCCAUAAACAUAGACUUCCUUGGAGAACAGUUCCUGAAGCACAAAUAAUGCGCACAGCGUCAUAAAAAGGCAAGGUAAUGAAAGCAAUAUUGUUUUUUCGUGUGCAGUGAAACACCUACCCUUUGCCAUUUGGAAUGAGGAAGGUGAAGGAAGCACACUUUUUCUAAAGCCCUGUUUGAUUACUGAAAGCUGUGGAAACACUAGAGGUUUGCCUUUGUGGUCCCUAUGUUUGCAGAAUUAGGCCCUCAGUUAAACAAGGAUUACAAAUCAAAGCUAAGUUAUUAUAAGGUGGAUCAAGAAAAGUUGUUUUAGCAAAGGAGAAAGGAAGGUGGAAGAAGUAGGGUUUAUUGAAAGUCUUGCAGGCUUGUUAGUAGUUAGGAAGCUCUAAUUUUCAGCAGAUACUAGUGGUGAAUCAUGCUGAAGUAAUGAGGCCAGCACUGGAAUAAAAAUGUGAGGAAAAACA
rnacentral:lncRNA from 1 species